AUAGAUAAUGUCUAGCUAGUCUUCACAAGUGGCAUGUAUUUUCUUGUUGACAAGGCGGGCAGUCACAAUUGAACUUUGUCAUGUCACGUGCUUCAACACUAAACCUGCACGUCACAGCGGGGAGUUGGCCUUCCUGACGCUCACACGUCCUCACUGACUGCCCUGAGGCCUAAGUGAUCCUCAUAUACAUCUUCUUUUAAAUAAUGAUGAUGAUGACGACGACGACGACGACGAUGAUGAUCAUAUACUGAUGAUUUAGUGUUGAGACCGCCUCCGUGGUGUAGUGGAAAGACCGUCAGCCUGCAGAGCGGUAUGUCGGUGGUUCGAUCCUCUGGUCGCGUCACUCCAAAAGACGUUAACAGACGCCUGGCAGUUGGCAUUAAGGGAAUAAAACAAGGACUGAUCGGCUGUGAGUCAGUAUACUGUGUCUAAAUGCGGUAUCCAUGUUAAACUGCGGCAUGGUAUCUCAUUGGACUAGCACUAUAAACCUAGUACGCACAGCCACACUUACAGGUACACGCACGUGGCUAUAUAAGCGCAACAAUCCAGAACACCAGUUUAAACCCAAUUUCACAUCAUUGUUCUAGAAACAAUUUGACAAAUUACAUCGUGUUAUAACAAAAUGGAGACUGGUCCAGUUGAGCCAAAUCAAUGCUUAUCACAAUAAUGUACACCGGCUGUGGGAGCGACGAGACAGAGAGAUACGAUACUUCUCAUCACAAAGAUGUGUGUAUAGCUGCUGGAUCAAUGGUGAAGUUCUGAAAACAAUAGAUCCAGCUUGUAACCAGAGCCACCCUGUCUUGUUGGACUGACCAGGGUACACACAGCGUCUGCAGGGAUGGGUUUACCAUGAAUAUUCAUCAAUAGAUAGGGUUCUAUAUUGUGAAACAUAUCUCUUGUUUUGAUAAAAUCGUUACGCAUUCA